rnacentral:rRNA from 1 species
GACGUAGGGUCCGAGCGUUGUCCGGAAUCAUUGGGCGUAAAGAGCGUGUAGGCGGCCCGGUAAGUCCGCUGUGAAAGUCGGGGGCUCAACCCUCGAAUGCCGGUGGAUACUGUCGGGCUAGAGUGCGGAAGAGGCGAGUGGAAUUCCUGGUGUAGCGGUGAAAUGCGCAGAUAUCAGGAGGAACACCAACGGCGAAGGCAGCUCGCUGGGACGUUACUGACGCUAAGGCGCGAAAGCGUGGGGAGCGAACAGG